rnacentral:rRNA from 1 species
UACGGGGGGGGCAAGCGUUGUUCGGAAUUACUGGGCGUAAAGGGCUCGUAGGCGGCCAACUAAGUCAGACGUGAAAUCCCUCAGCUUAACUGGGGAACUGCGUCCGAUACUGGAUGGCUUGGAUUCGGGAGAGGGAUGCGGAAUUCCAGGUGUAGCGGUGAAAUGCGUAGAUAUCUGGAGGAACACCGGUGGCGAAGGCGGCAUCCUGGACCGAUAUUGACGCUGAGGAGCGAAAGCCAGGGGAGCAAACGGG